rnacentral:tRNA from 1 species
GGAGGGUAUAGCUCAGUGGUAGAGUGCAUGCUUAGCAAGCAUGAGGUCCUGGGUUCAAUCCCCAGCACCUCCA